UUUUUUUAUUUCUUCCUAAAAGAAACUUCUCUCUUCUUCUUCUGGUGUUUCGAAAGAAGAAGGCUUCGACGAUUGUUGAGGAGAUUCAUGUGAAAUAAUCUGAAGAUUAUGAUCUAGGGUUUCGAUUCUUGUUUGAUUUAGGCACGAAACUAUUACAAUUUUUUGGGGUUCUUCUUCCUCGUGGUGAUUUCGUUAAGAUCUAGUGAGGCACCAAACUAUUUUAAUCGACGGCUUGGUUUCUUCAUCUUCCUCCUCGGUGUUCAUUGUAUGGACCUACUAUCUACAGCAAAAGUACAAGCUUAGCUCAUUAAACCUACUGGGUCAUACUGCUCCAGCCCAAGCUGCAAUACUGUUGAUAGUAGGCCCAUCUCUCGAUUAUUGGUUGACACACAAACGAGUAAACAUGUACAGUUACAACUUUGUAUCUGUGGAGAUUUUGUUUCGAGUCUAACCCAUGAAGCUUGUCUACACUUUGACGAGGUAUUUCUCUGCCUUAUCCGUUUUUCUUUCUUCCUGUGGUUUGGUUUUGUAUUUUGUGUGUUCUCUGUCUUACAAUUGAUCAGUCCAUUUAUGAUCAGAUUUUUGGUUUUUUUUUUUUGUGUGUUCUUGAUCCUAAAACAAAAAGGAAUUAUCCACUUUAAUAAGAAUCCAGAUCCGUUUUUGGUUUUGGUUACUUGGUCUACGGAUUCUUAUAUUGGAGGUUUUAGUUUUUGAUGUUUUUCGUUUUUUGUUUUCUUUCAAAACCCAAAAAAGAUCAAAGGCAGACACUUAUGUUAAUAGUGUUCUGUCAUAUUCUAUUUUGGGGACAUUGUCCCAAAGAGAAAUUGUGAACUGUGGGCUUGGUAGUGCAUGGUUGUUGCGAGUUGGAAAAGAGGUUUCGAUUUGUUGGAUGAUCCCAUGGCUUAUAAGUCAGAAGGCAAAAAAGAACCAAAGAGUUCUCACAUUUUGGUACCCUCGGCUUGAAAAAAUAAAGAGUCACAUGACAUUGAAAGAGAAUGACCUACGGGUUGAUAAGUCUUAAGACAAAAGACGUAAAACAAUUAUGGGAUUGGUAGUGCAUGCAUGUUGCGAGUUGGAAAAGAGGUUUCGAUUUGGUGGAUGAUCACACGGCUUGAUAAGUAAAAAAAAACAGAAAAGAACCAAAGAGUUCUCAAGUUUGGUACCCACGGCUUUGGGAGUCAAAUGAAUUUGAAUGGGAAAGAGAUUUAAGGCAAAAGACAUGGAAGAACCAAAAGACAUGAAAGAACCAAAGAGUUCUCAAGUUUGGUACCCACGGCUUUGGAAGUCAAAAGACAAAAGAAUGGAAAUGAGAUUUAAGACAAAAGACAUGAAAGAUCUAAAUGACUUUGAAUGGGAAAGAGAUUUAAGGCAAAAUACAUGAAAGAACCAAAGAGUUCUCAAGUUUGGUACCCACGGCUUUGGGAGUCAAAAGACAAAAGAAUGGGAAUGAGAUUUAAGACAAAAGACAUGAAAGAUCUAAAGAGUUUUUCAAGUUUGGUACCCACGGCUUUGGGAGUCAAAUGACUUUGAAUGGGAAAGAGAUUUAAGGCAAAAGACAUGAAAGAACCAAGUUCUCAAGUUUGGUACCCACGGCUUUGGGAGUCAAAUGACUUUGAAUGGGAAAGAGAUUUAAGACAAAAGACAUGGAAAAACCAAAAGACAUGAAAGAACCAAGUUCUCAAGUUUGGUACCCACGGCUUUGGGAGUCAAAUGGCUUUAAAUUGGAAUGAAAUUUUAGACAAAGAGGACAUCAAAGACUUUGAAUGGGAAUGGGAAUGAGAACCAAAAGACAUGAAAGACAUGAAAGACUUUGAAUGGGAAUGGGAAUGAGAACUAAAAGACAUGAAAGAACCAAAGAGUUCUCAAGUUUGGUACCCUCGGCUUUGGGAGUGAAAAGACAAAAGAAUGGGAAUGAGAUUUACAAAAGACAUGAAAGUACAAAAGACAUAAAGAACAAAAGAGUUCUCAAGUUUGGUACCCUCGGCUUUGGAACACAAAAUAAUGGGAAUGAGAUUUAAGACAUGAAAGAAUGGGAAUGAGAUAUGAGACAAAAGACAUGGAAGAACCAAAAGACAUGAAAGAAACAAAGAGUUCUCAAGUUUGGUACCCUCGGCUUUGGGAGUUAAAUGACUUUGAAUGGGAAUGAGAUUUACAAAAGACAUGAAAGUACAAAAGACAUAAAGAACAAAAGAGUUCUCAAGUUUGGUACCCGCGGCUUUGGAACACAAAAGAAUGGGAAUGAGAUUUGAGACAAAAGACAUGGAAGAACCAAAAGACAUGAAAGAACCAAAACCAAAAGACAUGAAGAACAAAAGAGUUGUCAAGUUUGGUACCCUCGGCUUUGGAACACAAAAGAAUGGGAAUGAGAUUUUAAGACAUGAAAGAAUGGGAAUGAGAUUUGAGACAAAAGACAUGGAAGAACCAAAAGACAUGAAAGAGUUCUCAAGUUUGGUACCCUCGGCUUUGGGAGUUAAAUGACAUUGAAUGGGAAUGAGAUAUAAAACAAAAGACAUAAAAGAAUGGGAAUAUAAGACAAAAGACAAAAGACAAAAGAAAGGGAAUGAGAUUAAAGAAAUCAUAAGACUAGGUUGUGACUUGUUGGAUGGUAACAACGACCAACAGAUUAUGGAAAUAGACCAACUGCUUGAAAGGAGGCGUUACGGACAUUGUUGGAUGGAAAAACAUGACCAGCCGAUUAGAGAAAUCUUAAGAAGAGAUUGUGACUUGUUGGAUGGUAAAAACGACCAACAUAUUAUGGAAAUAGACCAACGGCGUAUAAGGAGGCAUAAGAUUAUAAAGCAGUUAAGGACAUUGUUCCGAGCAAAUUUGUGAACUGAAUCAGAUCUAUUUGGAUGGAUAGUGCAUGCAUGAAAUGAAACCAGUAACGACCAACGGAUUAAAGAGAUAUUAUGACGAGACGGUGACUUGUUGGAUGGUAAAAUUGACCAACAGAUUAAGGAUGAGCUUAGAGCUAAUACACCAACGGCUUAAUGAAGUCUAGCCAACUAUUAAGACAAGACAGUAGAGCUAUAAACCAACAGCUUUAAAAAGUUGUAAGACAAAGGAGGCAUAAAUUAUAAAGCAGUUAAGGACAUUGUUCCGAGCAAGUCUGUAAACUGAAUCAGAUCAUUUUGGAUGGAUAGUGCAUGCAUGUAAGGAGACCAGUUGUUGGAUGUCAAAAACGACCAACAGAUUAAAGAGAUAUUAUUACGAGACGGUGACUUGCUGGAUUAUAAAAUCGACCAACAGAUUAAGGAAAAAAGUCUAUAAGACAAGACAAUGAGCUUAGAGCUAAUACACCAACGGGUUGAUGAAGUCUAGCCAACUAUUAAGACAAGACAGAAGAGCUAUAAACCAACAGCUUUAAGAAGUUGUAAGCCAAAGGAGGCAUAAGAUUAUAAAGCAGUUAAGGACAUUGUUCCGGGCAAAUUGUGAACUGAAUCAGAUCUUUUUGGAUGGAUAGUGCAUGCAUGUAAGGAGACCAGUUGCGAUUUAUUUGAUGGUAAAAACGACCAACGGAUUAAAGUAUUAUGACGAGACUGUGACUGGUUGGAUGGUAAAAAACGACCAACAUAUCAAGUAAAGUAAGUCUUUAAGACAAGACAAGGAACUUAGAGCUAAUAGACCAACGGCUUUAUGAAGUCUAGCCAAGUAUUAAGACAAGACAGUAGAGCUAAUAAACCAACAGCUUAAAAAAGGUCUAAGACAAAGAUAUUUGACCAAAAAAAUAUGCAGAUUGUGUAGACUUGAGACGUGUUGCCUUGUUGGAUGGUAAAAACAACCAGCACACUAAAGAAGUUUAGCUCAACGACUUUAAAAAGUUGUAUGUGACUUUGAGUAGAUUUCAAGUGCAGCAGACUUCUUGACAGGCGAAUAUGGUGGCUACUUUUGCGAGGGACUGUGAAGGAUUUCUAGGAAGCUUUUGUCUUCUGAGUUUCACCUUCCUUGUUGAAUUGUCAAAGAUCUGGUUAUAUGGUGAUGAGGUAAGUGCUUUGAAAGAUGUUGAUGUUCUCAUUGAAGCCAAAGAGAUUUAUUACAUACACCAGAGUAUGAUUUGGCAGUGGAAAUGAUUCCUGAGAGGUCAUGCUUAUGAUGUUCAUCAGGUUCUAUCAAUUUAAACUUUCUGAUAGAUAGAUAUAGUUAAUUGUCAUUCUUUAGCAAUACUAGUGAACUUACUCCACACAUGAAACUUAUUGGCUACUGAACAGAGGCAAGUGAAACUACAUUCAUCUUUGGUUACAUAUAGUAAAUAGACUCUCUCUUGUCUUUAGCUUUAUAGGUCUUUUGGCUAUUUGCAGCAUGGAAUAGUAUAACUUUAACAACUUCAUUUUCUGAUCCAUGCUAUUUUACUUUCACUAUUAGAAAAUCCCUUAUGUAUCUAAAGUAUCUGAUGUUCUUAAAACUAUCUUUGUUGUUUUGAUCUUUCUUUUAUAUGUUUGCGUAAUUGUAGCUAUGUGCUCUUGCAUUUGAAACCUGACGUGCUUCAUACUACUAACAUUGUAAGCGUAAGGUUGAAUGUCACAAAAACUGUAAGCGUGUAAGUUGGAUUACAUCGUGACAAACAAAUAUGUCGAUGGCUGGGAUGAUCCACCUUUUUUGACACUUGCUGAUCUAAGGCGGAGAGGUGUGACUUUAGUUAUACACUACAAAUACACAUUAAAUUGCCUACCGCGAAAAAAAAAAAAAUUGGUAAAAAACGCUUGUUUUUUACCGUUUUCCUACGAAAAAACUGGUAAGAAAUGUCCCUUAAGAAACUAGAAUUGGUAGGGAUUUCGUAGGAAUUUUCCUAUAAAAUAUACUGAAAAGAUCCGACCCGUUUUUUUUUAA